GACGAACGCUGGCGGCGUGCUUAACACAUGCAAGUCGAACGGAAAGGCCCUGCUUUUGUGGGGUGCUCGAGUGGCGAACGGGUGAGUAACACGUGAGUAACCUGCCCUUGACUUUGGGAUAACUUCAGGAAACUGGGGCUAAUACCGGAUAGGAGCUUCUGCUGCAUGGUGGGGGUUGGAAAGUUUCGGCGGUUGGGGUUGGACGCGCGGCUUAUCAGCUUGUUGGUGGGGUAGUGGCUUACCAAUGCUUUGGCGGGUAGCCGGCCUGGGAGGGAGACAGGCCACAGUGGGAUACGGGAAGGGCCAAGAGGCAUACGGGAGCAAGGGGUGGAAGAAUGACCAAAAAGGGCCGAGGGAGGAAGGAGGAACGCCGCGUGCGGAAUGACUGCCUUUGGGUUGGAAAACACUUUCGCCUAUGACGAAGCGUGAGUGCCGGUAAUGAGGAAAGAGACACCGCCUACUUACUU
rnacentral:rRNA from 1 species